CAUUUUAGGGUGUUUUAAAGGGGGGACUCGGCGAGUUGGAGCCAGACUCGCCGAGUAGGGUCGCAGAUUUGGUCGCGGGUUCGCGACUGGACUCGACGAGUCCAGGUAUGGACUCGGCGAGUCGACGCUGUUCAGUGGAAAACCCUAGCCGUUCAGUUUGGGACGUAUAUAAGGGAUCUUAUGCCUCCAUUGUUCGCCUUUUUGGCCGACUGAGAAGGACCCUAAAUCGGUUGUGGGCAUCCAGAACAAGGAUUGAAGAUCAUUGGUGAUUUGAGGAAGUUAUUGUCCAAGAAGGAGAAGGUUUUGGCUAAUGGGACAGCAAGGGAAUCACGUUUUGAGGCUUGGGGACACUGAGAGUGCAUGAUUCAGGUAACCUUUCGGAUUAUUUUCUGUUAUGUGAAUGUGUGCAUGGAUUUAGGGUUUGUGAAACCCAUUUGGAGAUUAGAUGGAUUGUUGUGUUGUUAUCCAACGUUUAUAACCCUGUAUUAGUACCCCUUAGAGGUCCAGAAGGUCCUAUGUUUGUAUAUUCGGGAAAAUAUGUAUCUCAGGAAGCAGUUUGAUCGACUGCAUGGCGUGGACUCGCCGAGUCGGAUGAUCAGACUCGGCGAGUAGCUUGAAGAUUCACUGGGACUCGCCGAGUUGUUCUUCAGACUCGGCGAGUGGAGUCGGGGUGGCCCCGCGAUUCUUCCAGGAGUGACUCGUCGAGUCAAAGAGGAUACUCGACGAGUAGAAGGGGAAUCUUAGAGGAUUGAAGGACGACCAGACUCGCCGAGUCGCCAGGGAACUCGCCGAGUCCAGUCGAGCUGACAAUGGACUGUUGACCAGAGUUGACUGGUGUGAUUUCUUAGGGUCAGUUAACGUGGAAGAUAGAAGUAUUAAUAAGGGAUAUAUGAUGUUACAGGGAGCUUGUAGCUCGGAGGAUCAAGUGCAAGGGAUUUUAGGAGUUGCUAUCUUCCAGUGUCCGCGAGGUGAGUCUUCUCACUAUACCUCACCCGGAAGGGUUUGAUUGUGUGACCGGAAGGUCAAGUAUGUUAUGUGUUAUGUUUAUAUGCUAUAAAUGGAAAGUUAGCUGCUACGCGUGAUAUACAUGCUUAUAUAUGGGCCGGAAGGCAAGGUAUUAUGUGACAGAAAGGUCAGGUAUGAUAUAUGAUAUAUGUGCUUUAUGUGUUAGAGUAUUUGUAUUAUGUGUUAUAUAUGUGUAUGGGCCGGAAGGCAAUUAUCUUACGGGCCGGAAGGCGAUAUAUAUUGUGGACCGAAAGGUCCGGGCCGGAAGGCAAUGUUAUGUGGACCGAAAGGUCCGGGCCGGAAGGCAAUGUUAUGUGGACCGAAAGGUCCGGGCCGGAAGGCAAUGUUAUGUGGACCGAAAGGUCCGGGCCGGAAGGCGUAUGUGCGUAAGGUAUAUUGGGGAACUCACUAAGCUUCGUGCUUACGUUGUUUAUGUUAUGUUGUUUCAGGUUCUUACAGUAACGCGGGAUGGCAACGGUUCGAUUGUACACACCGAAGAAAGAGUUGUGUUUUGGAGGAUCCUGGUCUUCUAUUAUAAUGAAAAUGAAACUAUGUUUUGUAAUUCGAAUGUGAAUAAGAUUUUAAACAAGUGUUUUUAAUAUUAAAUUGAUUAUUUAAAUGAAAAUUUUGUUUUUGGAAAUCACGGUGUUACAAAUUGGUAUCAGAGCCUUGGUUUGAGGGAUUCGGACGCGCCUACGGGUAAAUCUGGACUCAAACUGAGGAAGUAAGAAAAAGUUUUCCAAAUAAAUGGUUUUCUAAAAGUGAAUAAGAGUUCAAAGAGAAAGCAAGAAAGAGCAGUGUGUACAAUCAGCCAGAGCCAAACGGUGAUUUCCCAAAAUACCCUUACUUUUGUAUUAUGAAAUAUCUAUUAUGCACUUUAUGAGAUAUUAUUGCAUGCUAGAGACAGGCUAGGUAUUUCACAUCUUAGGACUAGAGUGGCCUGAUUUGUGAUGCCUUAGUCUAGGGUUUGCUGUUAUAUGUGCGUUAUGCUUUUGUGUGUAUGUGAUGAGUGAGAGUAUCUAGUUAGAACGCACAAGGGGUAAAGCUACGGGGUACAGAGGUACUUCCGAGGAUGAGCCGAGAAGGUGGAGCUACCACAGAUGGGGAGUCCUAUGUAUGCUUCAAUGCUCGAAUGCUGCUUGCUUUGUGCUUUGUGGAGUUAUCGAUGAUGGGAGUCAGCUACUAAGUGAGUAUGACGAUACUCAGGAGGUAGAGGGCUGGCAUCAUUAGGAACUCUUCAGCAGCUGAUAGCAAAGAAGUGGGAGGACAGCGGAAGGGACUAGGGAGUAAACCUAGCCAGAUGAGUGCGCUGGUAGAGUAGAGGAUUUCGCUGGAAAGCGAGCACGCGCGAUGAGAUGGGUGAAAGAGCAGGUUUAUCAGCUACUUAGGAACUCUGGGAUGGUCCGUGUGGAAAGUAUGGGUAGAUGUGGCAGGUAGUAUGGGCCCGUACUACUGAAAGCAGAGGACCCAUACUUGAUACAGGGGGCAUCCUAAAGGUCCUAAGGAACAGAUUGAGGGGUGAUGUUAUGGUUCGGAUACCAUACAUCGGAGCGGAUACAGAGUGAUGUUAUGGUCCGGGCACCAUACAUCGGAACAGAUUGAGAUAGAUGUUGUGGUCCGAGUGCUAUACAUUGGAGCAGAUUGAGGAGUGGUGCUAUGGUUCAGGUACCAUACACUGAAGCAUGUUGAGGAGGGAUGUCAUGGGAUGAGUACCAUGGUUCGUAGUGGAUGAUGCUUGUGGCUAUCUUGUUAUCCGGUUAUGACCGAUGAGGUAGAGAUUGGACGCUAUGGGUUUCAGGCCUGUAGACCAUGAUUGAGUACGGAGAGGCGUUCCUCGAGGGGAAAGACAAGUGCCUAUCAGAGUAUUUUGGUAAGAGUCAAAGACAGGGGAGAAUUUCAGUUGAGUCGAGCAAUCAGACGACAGAGGAGAGGUCACCUUUUGGGUGGGUAGUGUCAUUUAUGCUCGUGUGCAAGACGCGAGAGGUCUGGUGUUUCAGUUCUGGAUUUGGGAGUACACCCUGCAGGUAGUUAUCGAUAAUGACUUCCCUCAGAGCAUCAGGUAGCGGGUGUACCGCGAGACAGAGAUUUACCGUGAACAGACAGUCAGUUGGGGCUGAGGUAGUCGAGAACCACACCACACCUAAUUGAGAAUAACAGGUUGGGUUAUAGUGGUAGCAGUGAAGAGUUCAGACGAGUUUUGCAGUGCGGAGAGUUGUCGUCUAUGUUGAGAGUAAGUCCCUGUUCUUGGGACAAAUCCGGCGUUGGAUACGGAUUGAUGAGUUGAGAUGAGAGGAACGAUGAUGCUGCGGUGCAGUCUACGAGCCAGAUAUGUUAUCGAGCAGUGCAGGUGCUUAGUAUUAGAUCAGUAUGGGAUUUGGAACGAUUAGAGGCAGCCGUGAUGAGAAGUUCUUGGAGAGUUAGCUAGAGGUUCAGAGUAUAGGGGAUUGAUUGACUUCAUAAGGGGAGGGACUAUCGGGUGUUGCACAGCACUUUACUGGGGCAGGUACGAUUUCGCUGGUGAAAGAUAGUCGUGGGUUGAUUGUAUACUAAUUGGUGUUGGUUCGAACCCUAGUGGGGGAGAACCGGGUGCAGUAUGUAAGAAAGCAAGAAUUGUCAGGAGUAGUAAUAAGUGGAGUAUAGAGAUGCAGUAGGAAAGCAUGAGACCAUAGGUGUCGAUGAUCGAGUAAAAAGGGGUUACAUCGGAGCUUGCGGGUCCGGUGGUGCAUGCCGCAAGUGCGGAAAGGAGGGGAACUGUGCACGGGAUUGUUGGCAGUCAGUGCCAAUUCGGGAUUUGAGGAGGACAGGAUGAAGCGGAGCCCCAGAGGGCUCAGGGUCGUGUUUAUCUGCGUACGACAGAGGGAGACGGAGCAGUGCCGGAGGCAGCGGGUAUGAUGUUUUCAUGAUGUCUUAAUUGUCUUGCAUUGAUUUGACGUAUUGGUUGUGCUGGUAUCUUGUAUGGAUUUCGAUGCGGUAUUCGUUGUUUCGCGGGUCUGGCGUGGUUAUGGAUUGGUGCUUCAGGUUUUUGCUUUGGCAUUCGUUGUUCCCUGAUGGUUGAGUAUGGUUAUAAUUGGUGUUUUAGCAUCAGUAGUCUUGUGCGGUUUUCGAUGUGGUGUUCAUCCUUUGGGCAGAUUGUGAGUUUGGUUAUGGGUUAUUGUCGAGGAUUCCUUUGGUUAUCGUUCGUGGGGGUUGUUAGGGGAGAUGCGGCACUGGGUUGAUUGUCGGGUAGCAUCUACAGUCGUGGAAUGGAUGAUUGAAGGACUAGAUUCUUGUGAGUGGGUUGAUCAGGGAGGAGGUGUGUUUUGCUGAGGGUUGCUUGUGCUGGUGGGAAGCAGUCAGGGUGUAAUUGUUCUCUUUGUGCAGGAUUGUCUGUAAGGUCGUUAAUGACGAUCGGUGGCAGUUAGUCAGUGUUUUAGUGGGGGGGAAUUAGGAAAUUCUCCGGGAGAUCGAUGAGUAUGUGAGGGUGUGUAGCUGCCGGGAUUCAGCAGUGUUUGUCAGCACAGAGUAUAGCCCGACGAGAGCGAGUGUCGGGUAUGCGGGGCGGGAUUCAGACCUAGGGCAUUCUAUUGUGGAGGCCUGAGAGAAGGUCAGGAUCAAGCUUGAGUAAGUGACCGGGGCUAUGUGAUCAGAGUAUUGGUAUGUUUAAGAUACGUGAUGGGUUGUACUGCAUUAAUCCCACGGGAUUAUGUUGUGCAUGUUUCUAGAGCUGGAACCGGAAGGUCCCAGAGUUAGAACCUGAGGGUUCGCAGAGUUGGGUGUACGGACCCACAGAGAUAUAGCCUCGAGUGGUUAGUAUGUGUUAUGAGAGUCGGUCCAGUCAUGCUGGAGACUCUGUUGGUAUUGCUGGAUCAGUUUGAGAUUACGGAUGGUGUAUGUGCAGUGUGAUUACAUUGGAAGGUCGGAGCCCGGGAUUGGUGAUCUUGUUAGCUGAGACAGUGAUUUUGAUGAGUGGAGGGAGUGCAUGAGAUUCAGAGCCCUGCAAUGAGAACCAGAGCAUGUGGAUAGCGGUUACGCAAAAAGGGUGGUGUCGCUUGGGGCGAGCACCGUGGCAUCGGUUGGAGUGGCAUUAUGGCCAAGAGGGUCCCUUGGAAAAAGGAAAAGAGGAAGGUGUGUAACUCCGAAGGGUGCAAGUUCACGAAAGUGAAAGCUGCAGAGCGGAGUUAUGGGUAGAGUAUUUCAUGUAUGGUUUCGAACAUCAUGUAUGCGGCAAUGAAGUAGGAACCAUCCGGGUUGGGAUGACUGACGAGACUCAGAAAGGAUGCAAGAGAAUAGAGAAUCUUGAAUUCUCAGUGUGAUUCUGAUCAGAGUAUAGGACGGAUAUUAGUGGUUCUCCUUGGGAGAUGUUCGAGGAUAUCAUCAGUGUACCGGGUUUUUCAACCUGCGGGUGUUGGGACUAGUUCAGUAUGUGUAUGUGAUGGCAAGAGGGAACUUGUGAGAGUUGAUCUGAGAGGGAGAAUGGAUCUCUCAGUCGGUCCGGAAUGGGCAAAGUGGGCUUUGGAUCGGGGAUCCGGUGGUUCAGGGUUUCCUAACCCUUAUGGGUUGAGUGAUCGUUGAGAUUUGGAGCAGAGUGCAUCUUGGGUAAUUUCCGAUUACAGAGAGUGAUGAGCAGUUCAGAGUUCGUGCUUUAGUUGACAGAGCAGACUCAGCAGGUUAAAGAGAGUUAGUGAUCGUCUAGAGUUAACAGGAAGGUUAUGCAGGCAGACGCCGUUACGAGCAUGUAAUUCCGGACGCCGACUUCGUAAUUUCUGACGGGGUGUUUCGAUUUAGGAAGAGGAGUAAAUGGGGGGCCCCGGUAUGUUGGAUCUUUUCGUGAAAGUACGAAGGUAGGAAGGGUGACCUAUCGUUGGAGCUGUCAACGGAAUUGGGACGGAUCCAUGACACUUGUAUGUGUCGCAAUUGAAGAGGUGUAUAGCGGAUGAGUCAGCAGUGGUUCUACUAGAGAACGAUUAGGUGGAUGCGAGCCUGUGUUACGUCGAGAGGCCAGUGGCCGUCGGAGAUCGGAAGAUCAAGGUUCUGAGGAACAAGGAGGUACCUCUGGUAUUGGUUCAGUAGCGGCCUCGAGAGAGAUCGGUAGUGUCUAGGGAAGCCGAAUCGUGAGAUGCGGGAGCAGCAGCCAGAACUAUUUUCAGAGUGAGACUUCGAGGGCGAAGUCUAAUUCUAGUGGGGGAGAAUUGUAACAGCCCAAAAUCUCAAGUAUUGUUAAAUUGCAUUUUGGGGUGUUUUAAAGGGGAGACUCGGCGAGUUGGAGCAAGACUCGCCGAGUAGGGUCGCAGAUUUGGUCGCGGGUUCGCGACUGGACUCGACGAGUCCAGGUAUGGACUCGGCGAGUCGACGCUGUUCAGCGGAAACCCUAGCCGUUUCGUAUUGGGUCGUAUAUAAGGGACCUUAUGCCGUCAUUGUUCGCCUUUUGGCCGACUGAGAAGGAUCCUAAACCGGUUGUGGGCAUCCAGAACAAGGAUUGAAGAUCAUUGGUGAUUUGAGGAAGUUAUUGUUCAAGAAGGAGAAGGUUUUGGCUAAUGGGACAGUAAGGGAAUCACGUUUUGAGUCUUGGGGACACUGAGAGUGCAUGAUUCAGGUAACCUUUCGGAUUAUUUACUGCUAUGUGAAUGUGUGCACGGAUUUAGGGUUUGUGAAACCCAUUUGGAGAUUAGAUGGAUUGUUGUGUCGUUAUCCAAUGUUUAUAACCUUGUAUUAGGACCCUUAGAGGUCCAGAGGGUCCCAUGUUUGUAUAUUCG
rnacentral:lncRNA from 1 species